AGUCGAGCGGACAGAUGGGAGCUUGCUCCCUGAUGUUAGCGGCGGACGGGUGAGUAACACGUGGGUAACCUGCCUGUAAGACUGGGAUAACUCCGGGAAACCGGGGCUAAUACCGGAUGGUUGUUUGAACCGCAUGGUUCAAACAUAAAAGGUGGCUUCGGCUACCACUUACAGAUGGACCCGCGGCGCAUUAGCUAGUUGGUGAGGUAACGGCUCACCAAGGCGACGAUGCGUAGCCGACCUGAGAGGGUGAACGGCCACACUGGGACUGAGACACAGCCCAGACUCCUACGGGAGGCAGCAGUAGGGAAUCUUCCGCAAUGGACGAAAGUCUGACGGAGCAACGCCGCGUGAGUGAUGAAGGUUUUCGGAUCGUAAAGCUCUGUUGUUAGGGAAGAACAAGUACCGUUCGAAUAGGGCGGUACCUUGACGGUACCUAACCAGAAAGCCACGGCUAACUACGUGCCAGCAGCCGCGGUAAUACGUAGGUGGCAAGCGUUGUCCGGAAUUAUUGGGCGUAAAGGGCUCGCAGGCGGUUUCUUAAGUCUGAUGUGAAAGCCCCCGGCUCAACCGGGGAGGGUCAUUGGAAACUGGGGAACUUGAGUGCAGAAGAGGAGAGUGGAAUUCCACGUGUAGCGGUGAAAUGCGUAGAGAUGUGGAGGAACACCAGUGGCGAAGGCGACUCUCUGGUCUGUAACUGACGCUGAGGAGCGAAAGCGUGGGGAGCGAACAGGAUUAGAUACCCUGGUAGUCCACGCCGUAAACGAUGAGUGCUAAGUGUUAGGGGGUUUCCGCCCCUUAGUGCUGCAGCUAACGCAUUAAGCACUCCGCCUGGGGAGUACGGUCGCAAG
rnacentral:rRNA from 1 species